GCCAGGCAUGGUGGCUCAUGCCUGUAAUCCCAGCAUUUUGGGAGGCUGAGGCGGGUGGAUCACCUGAGGUCAGGAGUUUGAGACCAGCCUGACCAACAUGGAGAAAUCCUGUCUCUA
rnacentral:SRP_RNA from 1 species